AGUGAACGCUGGCGGUAGGCCUAACACAUGCAAGUCGAACGGCAGCACAGAGGAGCUUGCUCCUUGGGUGGCGAGUGGCGGACGGGUGAGGAAUACAUCGGAAUCUACUCUGUCGUGGGGGAUAACGUAGGGAAACUUACGCUAAUACCGCAUACGACCUACGGGUGAAAGCAGGGGAUCUUCGGACCUUGCGCGAUUGAAUGAGCCGAUGUCGGACUAGCUAGUUGGCGGGGUAAAGGCCCACCAAGGCGACGAUCCGUAGCUGGUCUGAGAGGAUGAUCAGCCACACUGGAACUGAGACACGGUCCAGACUCCUACGGGAGGCAGCAGUGGGGAAUAUUGGACAAUGGGCGCAAGCCUGAUCCAGCCAUACCGCGUGGGUGAAGAAGGCCUUCGGGUUGUAAAGCCCUUUUGUUGGGAAAGAAAUCCAUCUGGUUAAUACCCGGGUGGGAUGACGGUACCAAAGAAUAAGCACCGGCUAACUUCGUGCCAGCAGCCGCCGUAA
rnacentral:rRNA from 1 species